rnacentral:rRNA from 1 species
CUGAAACCGUGUGCCUACAAGUAGUUAGAGCCCGUUAAUGGGUGAUAGCGUGCCUUUUGUAGAAUGAACCGGCGAGUUACGAUUUGUUGCAAGGUUAAGCGGAAAAAGCGGAGCCGUAGCGAAAGCGAGUCUGAAUAGGGCGCAUAAGUAACAGGUCGUAGACCCGAAACCAGGUGAUCUACCCAUGUCCAGGAUGAAGGUAAGGUAAUACUUACUGGAGGUCCGAACCCACGCACGUUGAAAAGUGCGGGGAUGAGGUGUGGGUAGCGGAGAAAUUCCAAUCGAACUUGGAGAUAGCUGGUUCUCUCCGAAAUAGCUUUAGGGCUAGCCUCGAGGUAAAGAGUCAUGGAGGUAGAGCACUGUUUGGACUAGGGGCCCUUCUCGGGUUACCGAAUUCAGAUAAACUCCGAAUGCCAUGUACUUAUACUCGGGAGUCAGACUGCGAGUGAUAAGAUCCGUAGUCGAAAGGGAAACAGCCCAGACCACCAGUUAAGGUCCCCAAAUAUAUGUUAAGUGGAAAAGGAUGUGGGGUUGCUUAGACAACCAGGAUGUUGGCUUAGAAGCAGCCACCAUUGAAAGAGUGCGUAAUAGCUCACUGGUCGAGUGACCCCGCGCCGAAAAUGUACCGGGGCUAAACAUAUUACCGAAACUGUGGAUGAACCUCUUUAGAGGUUCGUGGUAGGAGAGCGUUCUAAGGGCGGUGAAGUCAGACCGGAAGGACUGGUGGAGCGCUUAGAAGUGAGAAUGCCGGUAUGAGUAGCGAAAGAAGGGUGAGAAUCCCUUCCACCGAAUAUCUAAGGUUUCCUGAGGAAGGCUCGUCCGCUCAGGGUUAGUCGGGACCUAAGCCGAGGCCGAUAGGCGUAGGCGAUGGACAACAGGUAGAGAUUCCUGUACCAGUGCUAAUUGUUUAACCGAUGGGGUGACACAGAAGGAUAGGGAAUCGCACGAAUGGAAAUGUGCGUCCAAGCAGUGAGUGUGAGAAGUAGGCAAAUCCGCUUCUCGCGAAGCAUGAGCUGUGAUGGGGAAGGAAAUUAAGUACGGAAGUUCCUGAUUUCACGCUGUCAAGAAAAGCCUCUAGGAAGAGUAGUACUGCCCGUACCGCAAACCGACACAGGUAGAUGAGGAGAGAAUCCUAAGGUGAGCGAGAGAACUCUCGUUAAGGAACUCGGCAAAAUGACCCCGUAACUUCGGGAGAAGGGGUGCUCUAUUAGGGUGCAAGCCCGAGAGAGCCGCAGUGAAUAGGCCCAGGCGACUGUUUAGCAAAAACACAGGUCUCUGCAAAACCGUAAGGUGACGUAUAGGGGCUGACGCCUGCCCGGUGCUGGAAGGUUAAGAGGAGUGCUUAGCUUCGGCGAAGGUACGAAUUGAAGCCCCAGUAAACGGCGGCCGUAACUAUAACGGUCCUAAGGUAGCGAAAUUCCUUGUCGGGUAAGUUCCGACCCGCACGAAAGGCGCAACGAUCUGGGCACUGUCUCAACGAGAGACUCGGUGAAAUUAUAGUACCUGUGAAGAUGCAGGUUACCCGCGACAGGACGGAAAGACCCCGUGGAGCUUUACUGCAACCUGAUAUGGAAUGUUUGUACCGCUUGUACAGGAUAGGUAGGAGCCGAAGAGACGUGUGCGCUAGCAUACGAGGAGGCAAUGGUGGGAUACUACCCUGGCUGUAUGACCAUUCUAACCCGCCACGCUUAGCGCGUGGGGAGACAGUGUCAGGUGGGCAGUUUGACUGGGGCGGUCGCCUCCUAAAGAGUAACGGAGGCGCCCAAAGGUUCCCUCAGAAUGGAUGGAAAUCAUUCGCAGAGUGUAAAGGCACAAGGGAGCUUGACUGCGAGACUGACAAGUCGAGCAGGGACGAAAGUCGGGCUUAGUGAUCCGGUGGUUCCGCAUGGAAGGGCCAUCGCUCAACGGAUAAAAGCUACCCCGGGGAUAACAGGCUUAUCUCCCCCAAGAGUCCACAUCGACGGGGAGGUUUGGCACCUCGAUGUCGGCUCGUCGCAUCCUGGGGCUGUAGUCGGUCCCAAGGGUUGGGCUGUUCGCCCAUUAAAGCGGCACGCGAGCUGGGUUCAGAACGUCGUGAGACAGUUCGGUCCCUAUCCGUCGCGGGCGCAGGAAAUUUGAGAGGAGCUGUCCUUAGUACGAGAGGACCGGGAUGGACACACCGCUGGUGUACCAGUUGUUCCGCCAGGAGCAUCGCUGGGUAGCUAUGUGUGGCAGGGAUAAACGCUGAAAGCAUCUAAGCGUGAAGCCCCCCUCAAGAUGAGAUUUCCCAUUUCUUCGGAAAGUAAGAUCCCUGAAAGAUGAUCAGGUAGAUAGGUUUGGAGUGGAAGUGUAGCGAUACAUGGAGCGGACAAAUACUAAUCGAUCGAGGACUUAACCAAAA